GUGGGGAAUCUUCCGCAAUGGACGAAAGUCUGACGGAGCAACGCCGCGUGAGUGAUGAAGGUUUUCGGACUGUAAAGCUCUGUUGUUUAGGACGAAAGUGCCUGUUGCAAAUAGUUACAGGUAUUGACGGUACUGAACGAGGAAGCCACGGCUAACUACGUGCCAGCAGCCGCGGUAAUACGUAGGUGGCAAGCGUUGUCCGGCAUUAUUGGGCGUAAAGAGCUUGUAGGCGGGAAUCUACGUCUGUUGUGAAAAUGCGGGGCUCAACCCCGUAUUGCGAUGGAAACUGGGUUUCUUGAGUGCAGGAGAGGAAAGGGGAAUUCCCAGUGUAGCGGUGAAAUGCGUAGAUAUUGGGAGGAACACCAGUGGCGAAGGCGCCUUUCUGGACUGUGUCUGACGCUGAGAUGCGAAAGCCAGGGUAGCGAACGGGAUUAGAUACCCUGGUAGUCC
rnacentral:rRNA from 1 species